GUUCCCUGGUCCAGGCAGCGCUGACUCAGCCGCCCUCCGUGUCAGCGAACCUGGGACAAACCGUCCAGAUCACCUGCUCCGGGGUUAGCAGCAGCUAUAAUGUUGGCUGGUACCAGCAGAAGACAUCUGGCAGUGCCCCUGUCACUGUGAUCUACCAGAACAGCCAGAGACCCUCGGGCAUCCCUUCGCGAUUUUCUGGUUCUGCAUCCGGCUCCACGGGCACUUUAACCAUCAGUGGGGUCCAAGCCGAGGACGAGGCCGUCUACUACUGUGGUAGCGAAGACGGCAGCAGUGGGUUUUCCCCUUUCCCUGCUGGCACCCUUCCCAAUGUGGUCUGUGUCUCAGGGCUGUGA